rnacentral:lncRNA from 1 species
GGCCCCGCCCUCAGAGCUCACACCCGCCGUGCGCUCUCGCCCCGGGGCCGCCCCGCCGACCUCCCGCGCGGCUCUGCGCGCACAGGCCGGACGCUCGGAGCCGGCGCCGGGCCGCCCUGCUCGGCCUCCUGGGCGCAGCGGCGCCUCUGGACCGAGCACGCGCACCAGCGGCCUCCGCUCAGGCUCCGUGCCCGCGCACGCGCCCUCGCGUCGCGCUCCUGGCUGAGAGACCUGCGCUCGGGCUGGGCUCCGGGCGGUUCUCGCGUUGUCGUUCCACCGGGACUUCCGCGCUUCGGUGGCCUUUCGGACGAGCCGCCGCGCCCAGAGAUGUUCAGGUUGGAGCGACACUUCCCAGACGGCAGCGGUCACGCCAGCUCUUUGGCUUCCAUUCCGUUUUCGCGCGGUUCUCCCUCUUCGCAAGCUGCUUGGCUGCAAGAGGGAAGUAGGACAUUGAGCCCUAAAGGGAGAUUUCCAGCCAGGGGGCACCGAGUGAUGUCAUUCUGACUGCAGUCACCACUGUCGGGUUGUGAUUAAACUCUGAUGACCUAUGAGAGCACCGUGAUGCUCUAGAUUCCCUUUGUUCUUUCCCAGUAGAGGAAUCCCAAGGAGGACUGAUCAGUUUUGGCAGGUGCAAAACCAUGCUGAAAAAUGGUGUAGGCCCAUGCUUUGGAACUGAGCCCAGGCUGCUUAGGUGGAAAAUGCUGAACUUAAC